AGAGUUUGAUCCUGGCUCAGAUUGAACGCUGGCGGUAUGCUUAACACAUGCAAGUCGAACGGAAACGAUACUAGCUUGCUAGUAGGCGUCGAGUGGCGGACGGGUGAGUAACGCGUAGGAAUCUACCUGAUAGUGGGGGAUAGCCCGAAGAAAUUCGGAUUAAUACCGCAUAAUCUAUUCGUAGUAAAGUGGGGGACUUUCGAGCCUCACGCUAUCAGAUGAGCCUGCGUAAGAUUAGCUAGUUGGUAGGGUAAAAGCCUACCAAGGCGACGAUCUUUAGCUGGUCUGAGAGGAUGAUCAGCCACAUCGGGACUGAGACACGGCCCGAACUCCUACGGGAGGCAGCAGUGGGGAAUAUUGGACAAUGGGGGCAACCCUGAUCCAGCAAUACCGCGUGUGUGAAGAAGGCCUGAGGGUUGUAAAGCACUUUCAAUUGUGAAGAAAAGCUAGUGGUUAAUAGCCAUUAGCCUUGACGUUAACUUUAGAAGAAGCACCGGCUAACUCCGUGCCAGCAGCCGCGGUAAUACGGAGGGUGCAAGCGUUAAUCGGAAUUACUGGGCGUAAAGCGUGCGUAGGCGGUUUAUUAAGUCAGAUGUGAAAGCCCCGGGCUUAACCUGGGAACUGCAUUUGAAACUGGUCAACUAGAGUAUGGUUGAGGAAAGUGGAAUUUCUGGUGUAGCGGUGAAAUGCGUAGAUAUCAGAAGGAACAUCAAUGGCGAAGGCAACUUUCUGGACCAAUACUGACGCUGAGGUACGAAAGCGUGGGUAGCAAACAGGAUUAGAUACCCUGGUAGUCCACGCCGUAAACGAUGAUAACUAGCCGUUGGGGGGAUUUACCCCUUAGUGG
rnacentral:rRNA from 1 species